ACAUGACCAAAAUGGUCAAUUGACCCCUAAGGAGUUAUUGUCCUUUAUAGUCAAUUUUUAACAAUCUUCAUAAAAUUUGUAAAUUUUUACUAACAUUUUCCACUGAAACUACUUUGCCAAGAUCAUUAUAGAUAGAGAUAAUUGUAAGCAGCAAGAAUAUUCAGUAAAGUAAGAUGUACAAACACAUCACCAUCACCAAAACACAAUUUUGUCAUAAAUCCAUCUGCUUCCUUUGUUUAAUAUUCACAUAUACCAAGGUGAGCGACACAGGCUCUUU
rnacentral:lncRNA from 1 species